UACAGAGGGUGCAAGCGUUGUUCGGAAUCACUGGGCGUAAAGCGCGUGUAGGCGGUUUCCUAAGUCAGGUGUGAAAUCCCCCGGCUUAACCGGGGAAGUGCGCCUGAAACUGGGAGGCUUGAGUAUCGGAGAGGAAAGGGGAAUUCCCGGUGGUAGAGGUGAAAUUCGUAGAUAUCGGGAGGAACACCGGCGGCGAAGGCGCCUUUCUGGUCGAUUACUGACGCUGAGACGC
rnacentral:rRNA from 1 species